AAAACAAAAGUGUUACCCCUUAUGUUUUUUUUCAUGACGACCAAUAAAAAACAACAGUGUUACACAUUACGUUUUUUUUCAUGACGACCAAUAAAAAACAACAGUUGUUACCCCUUAUGUUUUUUUCAUGACGACCAAUAUAAAAACGACAGUGUUACCCCUUAUGUUUUUUUCAUGACGACCAAUAAAAAACGACAGUGUUACCCCUUAUGUUUUUAUUCAUGACGACCAAUAAAAAACGACAGUUGUUACCCCUUAUGUUUUUUUCAUGACGACCAUUAUAAAAACGACAGUGUUACCCCUUAUGUUUUUUUCAUGACGACCAAUAAAAAACGACAGUGUUACCCCUUAUGUUUUUAUUCAUGACGACCAAUAAAAAACGACAGUUGUUACCCCUUAUGUUUUUUUCAUGACGACCAAUAAAAAAAAGACAGUGUUACCCCUUAUUUUUUUUUCCAUGACGAUCAAUAAAAAAACGACAGUGUUACCCCUUAUGUUUUUUUCAUGACGACCAAUAAAAAACGACAGUGUUACCCCUUAUGUUUUUAUUCAUGACGACCAAUAAAAAACGACAGUGUUACCCCUUAUGUUUUUUUUCAAGACGACAAACGAAAAA
ensembl:lncRNA